AGUGGGUUAGCGCAGUGGUUAGCGCGUCUCUCUCACACAGAGAAGGACCUGAGUUCGAUCCUCAGACUCACUA